rnacentral:lncRNA from 8 species
AUGACAGAUUUGUACCUUGUCAGCUCGGGGAUUCAAUCUAGCUCGGGAAUUCGACUUUCUCCCCCUCUUCUUCUCUCUCAAUCCCCUCCCCUUCUCCCUCUCUGUCUAUUCUUCUCUCUCUAUCCCCUCCUCUUCUCCCUCUCUCUCUUCUGCUCUCUCUACCCAUCCCCUUCUCCCUCUCUUCUGCUCUCUCUACCCAUCCCCUUCUCCCCUCUCUCUUCUGCUCUCUCUACCCAUCCCCUUCUCCCUCUCUUCUGCUCUCUCUACCCAUCCCCUUCUCCCUCUCUCUUCUUAUCUCUCUACCAUCCCCUUCUCCCUCUCUCUUCUGCUCUCUCUACCCAUCCCCUUCUCCCCUCUCUCUUCUGCUCUCUCUACCCAUCCCCUUCUCCCCUCUCUCUUCUGCUCUCUCUACCCAUCCCCUUCUCCCUCUCUCUUCUGCUCUCUCUACCCAUCCCCUUCUCCCCUCUCUCUUCUGCUCUCUCUACCCAUCCCCUUCUCCCCUCUCUCUUCUGCUCUCUCUACCCAUCCCCUUCUCCCUCUCUCUUCUGCUCUCUCUACCCAUCCCCUUCUCCCCUCUCUCUUCUGCUCUCUCUACCCAUCCCCUUCUCCCCUCUCUCUUCUGCUCUCUCUACCCAUCCCCUUCUCCCUCUCUCUUCUGCUCUCUCUACCCAUCCCCUUCUCCCUCUCUCUUCUGCUCUCUCUACCCAUCCCCUUCUCCCUCUCUCUUCUGCUCUCUCUACCCAUUCUCCCUCUGUCUUUCUCUCUCUCUCUCUGUCUCUCUCUCUCUCUCUCUCUGUCUCUCUCUCUGUCUCUCUCUCUGUCUCUCUCUCUGUCUCUCUCUCUGUCUCUCUCUCUGUCUCUGUGUCUCUCUGUCUCUGUCUCUCUGUCUCUCUGUCUCCUCUCUUCUGCUCUCUCUACCCAUCCCCUUCUCCCCUCUCUCUUCUGCUCUCUCUACCCAUCCCCUUCUCCCUCUCUCUUCUGCUCUCUCUACCCAUCCCCUUCUCCCCUCUCUCUUCUGCUCUCUCUACCCAUCCCCUUCUCCCUCUCUCUUCUUAUCUCUCUACCCAUCCCCUUCUCCCCUCUCUCUUCUGCUCUCUCUACCCAUCCCCUUCUCCCCUCUCUUCUUCUCUCUCUACCCAUCCCCUUCUCCCCUCUCUUCUUCUCUCUCUCUCUCUCUCUCUCUCUCUCUCUCUCUCUCUCUCUCUCACACACUUUUUAAAUUUCAUGACCUAUGAAGUAAACCAAAACCCAGCUUUAUGCACUGGUACCCACAAUGACCCAGCUGCUACAGUACACACCAGUCGGUCCUCCUGA